UGGACAGAGUAUUGUAUUCACGGUGUGAAAUAGGGGAUUACACUGUUUUUAAAACGGAUAGUGAAUCAAUUAACAUAAUAGACUCCA
rfam:Nicotiana attenuata strain TT chromosome 11, whole genome shotgun sequence.